CAAAAACAUUUUCAACACACCUAAAUGUCAUAGAGAAUGAAAAGAGCUGCAAAUUGGAGCAUACUACAGUGCUAAUCAGGAAGAACAAAUGACCUGCACCAUAGCUGCUGCUGUUUGCACAGAUCUUUGUUCCAGGCUCAUCAGAUGAAACACAGAUAACCACAUGCUAUUCAGCAUCAAUGGAACAGGCAGCAGCUGCCUUUGCAUCGCAGGACAUGGUAUGAUGGACCGGUAUGAAGAGGGAAGAGGAAUGAAGAGAACAAGAGGGGAACAGCGGAC